rnacentral:misc_RNA from 1 species
UACGAGGGGUGCUAGCGUUAUUCGGAAUUAUUGGGCGUAAAGGGUGUGCAGGUGGCAUGCUAAGUCAGUUGUUAAAUGUCUCGGCCUAACCGAGAACCAGCAGCAGAUACUGGUAUGCUUGAGGAUAGAAGAGAGAAGUGGAAUUCUUGGAGUAGCGGUAAAAUGCGUAGAUCUCAAGAGGAACACCGAUGGCGAAAGCAGCUUCUUGGUCUAUUCCUGACACUGAGACACGAAAGCGUGGAUAGCAAACAGG